rnacentral:rRNA from 1 species
UGGGGAAUUUUGGACAAUGGGCGCAAGCCUGAUCCAGCCAUGCCGCGUGAGUGAAGAAGGCCUUCGGGUUGUAAAGCUCUUUCAGACGGAAAGAAAUCGCACUCAUUAAUACUGAGUGUGGAUGACGGUACCGUAAGAAGAAGCACCGGCUAACUACGUG